CAAAUUUGGCAUUAUUUGUCAUUCGAAAAUUCAUAUUCGUGUUUUAUGACCUAAGUAAUAGAUAUCCUUUAUUUAAGUCGAAAUUUGCAGUUUUUCCUAUGAUAUGCAAUCAGAUGAAGGGGAAUGUGAGCUAGAAACUCAAAAAGAGCAAAUAAUUCUUCGUUUGGAAGAAUUGAAAAAGGAAGUACAAACUAUUCUGGACACAGUCGACAUGAUCCCAAAUCGCAAUACGAAAUUACCGGCAAAUGCGUUAUCGAAAAAUGUUGAAGUUCAGUCAAAUAACGCGCAAGUCGUAUUAUUUGAAAAUGCCGAACUGUUGCUUAAGCCGGAAAUGGAAGAGGUGAUCUGUUCGGGUGAUACUCGUUAAGAUAACUAACAUAUACAAUUGUUAAUGGAGAAUGCAAUUAUAUAUUCAGAAUGGAUAUCUUAUAAAUUAAAGUAUUUUGAACAAA
rnacentral:lncRNA from 1 species